rnacentral:rRNA from 1 species
UUAAUAUUAGUUAUGAAAUAUAUUUCAAGAAAUUUUAUAUCUAGUUUUUUAAGAGUAAAAGUUUAAUAGAAUAAUUUUUAUAAAAAUUAAUAUGGUUUAGCUUAUUAAUUUUAUAUACUGAUAGAAUUUUUUAACCUUAGUAAAUUUGAUAGUGUUUAUUUUAUAAAUUUAUAAUGAAGGGUAAUAUGAAUAAAAAUUUUUAUUUGUUAUUUUUUUAUUAAAAAAUUUAUUAAAAUUUUAGAGUUUUAUUUAUAAUGAAAAAAUUAGUAAAAAUUUAUUUAUAUUAAAAAAUAAUUAAUAAUUUAUAAUUGUUAUAAUUAUUAUAAAAAAUGAAUUCGGCAAAAAGUAUUAUUUGACUGUUUAGCAAAAACAUUGUUUCAUGAAAAGUGUAUGAAAUAAUGUCUGUCCACUGAUAUAUUUGAAGGACUGCAGUAUAUUGACUGUAUAAAAGUAGCAUAAUCAUUAGCUUUUUAAUUUGGGGUUGGUAUGAAGGCGAAACGGAUAAGUUCUUUAUUUUUUAUAAGUGUUUUAAGUUUAUUUUUAAGUGAAAAAUCUUAAUUAUAUGAGAGGGACAAGAAGACCCUAAUAAGUUAUAUUUUUCUUUUAUUUAUGUUAUAGGAAAAUUUAAUUAGAUAAUAUUACAUUAGAAAUUUGGUUGGGGCGAUUAUUUAAAAAACAUAAUUUAUUUAUAAUUUUU